rnacentral:rRNA from 1 species
UUCAGAGGUCCCGAGCGUUGUUCGGAUUCACUGGGCGUAAAGGGUGCGUAGGUGGUUAGGUAAGUCCGAUGUGAAAUCUCCAGGCUCAACCUGGAAAUGGCAUUGGAUACUAUUUAGCUUGAGGAGUGGAGGGGGGACUGGAAUUCUCGGUGUAGCAGUGAAAUGCGUAGAUAUCGAGAGGAACACCAGUGGCGAAGGCGAGUCCCUGGACACUUCCUGACACUGAGGCACGAAAGCUAGGGGAGCAAACAGG